AUGGCCAGAGGCCUGGGGGCCCCCCACUGGGUGGCCGUGGGACUGCUGACCUGGGCGACCUUGGGGCUUCUGGUGGCUGGACUCGGGGGUCAUGACGACCUGCACGACGAUCUGCAAGAGGACUUCCAUGGCCACAGCCACAGGCACUCACAUGAAGAUUUCCACCAUGGCCACAGCCAUGCCCAUGGCCAUGGCCACACUCACGAGAGCAUCUGGCAUGGACAUACCCACGAUCACGACCAUGGACAUUCACAUGAGGAUUUACACCAUGGCCAUAGCCAUGGCUACUCCCAUGAGAGCCUCUACCACAGAGGACAUGGACAUGACCAUGAGCAUAGCCAUGGAGGCUAUGGGGAGUCUGGGGCUCCAGGCAUCAAGCAGGACCUGGAUGCUGUCACUCUCUGGGCUUAUGCACUGGGGGCCACAGUGCUGAUCUCAGCAGCUCCAUUUUUUGUCCUCUUCCUUAUCCCCGUGGAGUCGAACUCUCCCCGGCAUCGCUCUCUACUUCAGAUCUUGCUCAGUUUUGCUUCCGGUGGGCUCCUGGGAGAUGCUUUCCUGCACCUCAUUCCUCAUGCUCUUGAACCUCAUUCUCACCACACUCUGGAGCAACCCGGACAUGGACACUCCCACAGUGGCCAGGGCCCCAUUCUGUCUGUGGGACUGUGGAGGCCAGAGGGACCAUAGUGUUGGGCACUGUCUGACCAUGUUGCAUUUGGAAGGCUAAAUGGGGCCAUGAAGAAGGCUGGAAGGGACAGGGGGUGAUGGCAGCCUACCUGGUGUCCCCUACCCCACCUGUUCUCGGAGAACCAAGUUGCUACACAGGAAGUUCUCCAAGGUCCAGUUUCCUUUCUCCCACCAGUUGGUGGAGGCUUCAGGGAAGACCAGAGUCCUGGACAGAGAGGGUAACAGGAGGAGUCGGGGAUAAACAUCAAACAUCAAUCGUGUGUCCUGAUUUGGGAGUGAUUGGGGGGAUGGGGUGGGAGAGGGUUAGUUGGUAUUCUCAUGGCCUGAUUUUUUUUGUUUCUAUUCCUUUUAUAUCACUGUGUUUGAAUCGAGGGGGAGGGGUGGUAACCGGAAAUAAAGACCUCCGAUCUUCCGCCCCACA
rnacentral:sRNA from 1 species